GAGGGUGUAGCUCAGUGGUAGAGCGUGUGCUUAGCAUGCACGAGGUCCUGGGUUCAAUCCUCAGUACCUGCG
rnacentral:tRNA from 1 species